UUUGAGGGGAAUGUUGUCUGGCUCGAAGUCAUUAUGUCUUCUCGAUCAUUUAAGUACUAUAGAUCGAACCAAUUCAAUUUAUAUUUUUAAAUCUAGUGUAAAUAUAUAUGAUCACCAUGAGUUAGUGUCUUCGGACCAGGCUUCAUUCCCCCCAAU
rnacentral:pre_miRNA from 1 species